UACGUAGGGUGCGAGCGUUAAUCGGAAUUACUGGGCGUAAAGCGUGCGCAGGCGGUUCGUUGUGUCGGCGGUGAAAGCCCCGGGCUUAACCUGGGGAUGGCCGUUGAAACUGGCGAACUGGAGUGUGGCAGAGGGGGGUGGAAUUCCGCGUGUAGCAGUGAAAUGCGUAGAGAUGCGGAGGAACACCGAUGGCGAAGGCAGCCCCCUGGGCUAACACUGACGCUCAGGCACGAAAGCGUGGGGAGCAAACAGG
rnacentral:rRNA from 1 species